rnacentral:lncRNA from 1 species
CCAUGCCCACCACCUCCGGUUCCGGUGUACGAGCCACCCCCAAAGGUGGAACUUCCACCACCUGUCCCGGUUCACGAGCCACCCCCAAAGGUAGAGGUUCCACCACCCGUCCCGGUUCACGACCCACCGCCAAAGGUGGAGCACCCACCUCCGGUUCCGGUUUACAAGCCACCUCCAAAGGUAGAGCACCCACCUCCAGUUCCGGUUUACAAGCCGCCUCCAAAGGUAGAGCACCCACCUCCGGUUCCGGUUUACAAGCCACCUCCAAAGGUAGAGCACCCCCCUCCGGUUCCGGUUUACAAGCCACCUCCAAAGGUAGAGCACCCACCUCCGGUUCCAGUACACAAGCCACCAACAAUCCCUAAGAAGCCAUGCCCGCCUAAGUCGCCGAAGAUUGAGCUUCCACCGCCAGUGCCAGUUCACAAACCACCGACUAAGAAGCCUUGUCCGCCCAUGCCACCAAAGAAAGUUGAUCCGCCACCGGUUCCAGUCCACAAGCCGCCGC